rnacentral:rRNA from 1 species
UACGUAGGGUGCGAGCGUUGUCCGGAAUUACUGGGCGUAAAGAGCUCGUAGGUGGUUUGUCGCGUUGUUCGUGAAAACCGGGGGCUUAACUCUCGGCGUGCGGGCGAUACGGGCAGACUGGAGUACUGCAGGGGAGACUGGAAUUCCGUGGUGAGCGGUGGAUGCGCAGAGUAUCAGGAGGAACACCGGUGGCGAAGGCGGGCUCGUGGGCAGUGACUGACGCUGGAGGAGCGAAAGCGUGGGGA